rnacentral:rRNA from 1 species
GAUGAACGCUGGCGGCGUGCCUAAUACAUGCAAGUCGAGCGAACAGACGAGGAGCUUGCUCCUCUGACGUUUGCGGCGGACGGGUGAGUAACACGUGGAUAACCUACCUAUAAGACUGGGAUAACUUCGGGAAACCGGAGCUAAUACCGGAUAAUAUAUUGAACCGCAUGGUUCAAUAGUGAAAGACGGCUUUGCUGUCACUUAUAGAUGGAUCCGCGCCGCAUUAGCUAGUUGGUAGGGUAACGGCUUAUCAAGGCAACGAUGCGUAGCCGACCUGAGAGGGGGAUCGGCCACACUGGAACUGAGACACGGUCCAGACUCCUACGGUAGGCAGCAGUAGGGAAUCGUCCGCAAUGGGCGAAAGCCUGACGGAGCAGCGCCGCGUGAGUGAUGAAGGUCUUCGGAUCGUAAAACCCUGUUAUUAGGGAAGAACAAAUGUGUAAGUAACUAUGCACGUCUUGACGGUACCUAAUCAGAAAGCAACGGCUAACUACGUG